GAUGAACGCUGGCGGCGUGCCUAAUACAUGCAAGUCGAGCGAACAGACGAGGAUCUUGCUCCUCUGACGUUAGCGGCGGACGGGUGAGUAACACGUGAAUAACCCACCUAUAAGACUGGGAUAACUUCGGGAAACCGGAGCUAAUACCGGAUAAUAUAUUGAACCGCAUGGUUCAAUAGUGAAAGCCGGUUUUGCUGUCACUUCUAGCUGUAUCCGCGCCGCAUUAGCUAGUUGGUAGGGUAACGGCUUACCAAGGCGACGAUGCGUAGCCGACCUGAGAGGGUGGACGGCCACACUGAGACUGGACGGCGGUCCAGACUCCUACGGGAGGCAGCAGUAGGGAAUCUUCCGCAAAGGGCGGAAGCCUGACGGAGCAACGCAGCGUGAGUGAUGAGGGUCUUCGGAUCGUAAAACGCUGUUAUUAGGGAAGAACAAAUGUGUAAGUAACUAUGCACGUCUUGACGGUACCUAAUCAGAAAGCCACGGCUAACUACGUG
rnacentral:rRNA from 1 species